CACCUUUUCGGGCUGGCCCAUAAUAUUAUUUGUGUUACAAAUAUUAAAAGUUUAAUUUAUUGGCCCAUUAAAAAAACUAGAGACUACCCCCGUUCCGACCUAAUUUUUGACUUCCUCCUAAUCACUUUUCUACUUCUUCUUGGCCGCGGAGCUGUGCUUCUUCGGAAGUUGUAUCUUCUUCUCCAAAGUUCAGCUCCAUUGCAGAGGGCGACGCUCGUUUCUUCGAGCACCCAAAAAGUAAAGGGGUGUUGGCCAGUAAGCUACUCGCCGAGCUUGUCGAUCUACAAAUAAUAAUCAUUUCUAUUUUUGUAACCUCAAAUAUUGUGUAAUUUUAGAAAUUGUUUUGGUAGAAUAUGCCCACUGAUAGGAAGGGAACGCAAAUUCUUGAAUUUUUUUCAUUGUGUGAGAGAUUAUCGUCGAUUGUUGUUCAAUUUUGGUGUUUCCGGUUAUUUUUUCUUGUUCUUCAAAGAUAUUUUUUUGGAAUUCUGAAAAAUUCCGAAAUUCCGAAAUUUCCGAUUUAUCGGAAUCGGAACUGAGUUUUUGAUUCCGAAAAUUUUGGAAUCGGAAUCGGAAAUGAUAUUUGAGUUCCGAAAAAAAUCGGAAAUUUUCCGAAACGCCAAUUUCCGAUCCGAUCCGUCCGAUUUCCAC
rnacentral:lncRNA from 1 species